UAUUCGGAACCGCCCCAACCAGGUAAUGUCCUUCUCCCUUCUUUAAAGCUUCUGUUGCAACCAAAUGGGCAUACAUAUUUUCUGUUAUAGGAAUAUGACAAAAGCCAAUACUGUUAAAAAUGACUUUUAUUUCUUCGAUAUCUUUUAUGAUAGCUCCGAUAGUCAAUUUGUCUUGUUCUGAGCUUUGACACUUUUUGAUAAUCGUUUUCGAAUCUCCUAUUAUUUGUAAGUCUUUGAGCCCCAUAGACCUUCCUAACUCUAAGGCUUGUAACCCUGCAUGUGCCUCUACCGCGAAUGGAGUUGCUAUAUUGGUGUGGAUUACUGAUUUUGAAGCCAAAAUCUCCCUUCCCUCACCUCGAACAAUCAAACCUGAAGCAGAUCUUGCUUGUUGCUGAUCGAAAGCUGCAUCAAAGAAGACUAACACACUCGUUAUUCUUUCUUUAGUUCUCGGACCACCAUUUCCUGCCAAAUUACCCAAAGCCCACAACAGAAAAGUCGGCACUGUUCAUUUGACCCUUGACUAAAAACCCAUGACAUCCACGAAAGAUAUGAUUGCAAUCCUCCUCUUCUUUGUUGCAUCGAGGACACUGGGCAUCAGCAACUAUUCGUUUAAUCUUCAGAUUAGCAAAAGUAGGAAUGUAAUUCCAAGAAAUUCCCUAUUUUGUAAUUUUGACUUUCGAGGGGAUUUGUAAAUUCCAUAGUUUUUUGUAAAAGGCUUUAGUUUCGGUUUGUAAAUUAAUAGGAUUUUGAGUACCCUCCUGUAAUAGUUUGUAGGCGUUUCUAACUGAAAAAUUACCAGAUGGUUCUCCUCUCUAGACUUGGAAGUCUUCAUUUACUGACGUUGCCAAAGGAAUCUGCAAAAUCUUUUUAGCAACUUCCGCAUUGAAGAGGUCCUUCCAAACAGAAAUACGAUCCCCCUUACCAACCCUCCAGCAAAGUCCUCCUUCCAGAAUGCCUUUUGCCGACUAGAUAAUCUUUCAGGUAAGCGAAGGCAAAUUCCCUAAUUGAGUAGUUAGAAAACACGCAUUCAGAUAAUAUUUAGCUUUCAAUACUCGAGCUAGCAAAGAAUCUGGAAAAUUAAUAAGACGCCAGCCCUGUUUAGCUAAUAAUGCAAUAUUAAAUUUAUCAAGUUUUCUAAAACCAAGACCACCUGCUUCUUUCGAGACACACACAUCCUUCCACGCACACCAAUGAAUCCCCUUCUUCCACCGAUUUCCCCCCACCAGAAUUUAGCUAUUAUACCUUCCAACUCGUUACAUAAAGACU